AGCAGAGGGAGAGGCUGGGCUGCAGGGCAGGCUGCUGACCGCUGGUGGCUGGGCUGGGUGAGUGGAAGAGCCCCACUCCUGUCCCAUGCCAGGUUCUGGUCCCAGGGGAAGCCAAGACUUGAGUGGGUAAAAGGUCAUGCAGGAGCGGGGCUGGGAGGGAGAGGCACAGGGCAAGGCUCGCUCACUAGGCUGAUGGGCUGGCUUGGGAGAACAGGGCCAGUGACAAAGGCGGGAGAACAAAGGUGUUGAAGGGAGGAAUCAGCCCUGCUGAGCCCAGGUGCGUGAUCCCUGAGCAUCCUGGGCAGUGUCCUGAGUGGAAGGCAGGGCUACUCUGGGGCAGUUCAGGCUGAAGUGGCAGCCUAAGGUGGAGGGGAGAGGAGAUGGGCUGUGGGGACAGGCAGAGUUAACCCUCACUCAUUGAGAGCUCUGAAAACCCUGGGCCACACACCAUGACUGACCACAUAUCAGGAUGCUGGGGUCACUGUCUUUUGGGGGAGUGAAUGGUUGAUUAGGAUGGGGGCUUAUCCUGGGGCUAUGGUUUGAAACCAUAAUGGAGAAUGGGUAGGGGAAGCCCCCUUCCGAGGAAGAGCAUCUGGGGUCCUAAGGGAGGAGGGGAGGAUGGUGGUAACUGGGGAGAAAGUAGACGAAUGGGGAUGAAAGGAGUGGAGAAGCAGGGUAUAGGAGGAGAUGGGGUGGGAAAGAGGCUGUUAGGGAUUGACCCAGAGCAGCUGCCCUUUUCUAGACCCACCCAAACCAGAGGCCUCUGCACCACAGCCCACAAUUCUUGGGCUUAUGGAGACCUAAUUAAAGAGGAAUAAUGAUCCACUUCCCUCUGGCUGCCAAGUGCUGCUGUGACAGGCAAGAGCACUGCCUGGGGAAGUCAGAUUGGGCUCAGUCUAUCAGGGAGGGCAGGUGACACACACACAGAGCACCCUGGGAUGGUCCAGCCUCCUCUCAGGCUUUGAGGCACAGAAAGUCCAGCCACCCUCCCACACACACUCAUCAAGGGAAUUUCCCCUUCUUGUCCCACUAGACUCCUUGUGCACAUUUUCUGGAGAGUAGCCAGAGGGGAGCUGUGGGCUUGCCUAAAUCUGCCAGGGAGAUGGGUCUCCCAGACUCAUCCUGCACGGGGGCUAAGAGCUAGAUGCCACUUGGACUUAGCCUAACCCAACACUUAUCACCUCCUCAGGGAAGCCCUCCUGGCCCCACCCAGCAGGGCCACAUCAACCCACUGCCACUGCUCCAGCUGACUCCCCCAGGAACCAGGAGCCUUCAGAAAGGAAAGGGCUUUUCCAUUCCUUCUUUAUUUUACUUAGAAAUAAUUUUAAACUUACAGAAAAAUGUCCAGAAUAAGAAUAAUAUGAAAGGCAUCCAUAUAUCCUUUACAGCAAAUAUUCAACUGUUGUUAAUAUUCAACUAUUGUUAGUAUUUUAUUCUGUUCUUUUUCUCUAUAUUUACACAUGC
rnacentral:lncRNA from 1 species